rnacentral:rRNA from 1 species
AUUGAACGCUGGCGGCAUGCUUUACACAUGCAAGUCGAACGGUAACAGGCCGCAAGGUGCCGACGAGUGGCGAACGGGUGAGUAAUGCAUCGGAACGUGCCCAGUCGUGGGGGAUAACGCAGCGAAAGCUGUGCUAAUACCGCAUACGAUCUGUGGAUGAAAGCGGGGGACCGAAAGGCCUCGCGCGAUUGGAGCGGCCGAUGUCAGAUUAGGUAGUUGGUGGGGUAAAGGCUCACCAAGCCAACGAUCUGUAGCUGGUCUGAGAGGACGACCAGCCACACUGGGACUGAGACACGGCCCAGACUCCUACGGGAGGCAGCAGUGGGGAAUUUUGGACAAUGGGCGCAAGCCUGAUCCAGCAAUGCCGCGUGCAGGAAGAAGGCCUUCGGGUUGUAAACUGCUUUUGUACGGAGCGAAAAGGCUCUCUCUAAUACAGGGGGCUCAUGACGGUACCGUAAGAAUAAGCACCGGCUAACUACGUGCCAGCAGCCGCAGUAAAAC